rnacentral:rRNA from 1 species
AUUGAACGCUGGCGGCAGGCUUAACACAUGCAGGUCGAGCGGAGCGAGGGUGCUUGCACCUUAGCUUAGCGGCGGACGGGUGAGUAAUGCUUAGGAAUCUGCCUAUUAGUGGGGGACAACAUUCCGAAAGGAAUGCUAAUACCGCAUACGCCCUACGGGGGAAAGCAGGGGAUCUUCGGACCUUGCGCUAAUAGAUGAGCCCAAGUCGGAUUAGCUAGUUGGUGGGGUAAAGGCCUACCAAGGCGACGAUCUGUAGCGGGUCUGAGAGGAUGAUCCGCCACACUGGGACUGAGACACGGCCCAGACUCCUACGGGGGGCAGCAGUGGGGAAUAUUGGACAAUGGGCGGAAGCCUGAUCCAGCCAUGCCGCGUGUGUGAGGAAGGCCUUUUGGUUGUAAAGCACUUUAAGCGAGGAGGAGGCUCUUAAGGUUAAUACCCUUGAUGAGUGGACGUUACUCGCAGAAUAAGCACCGGCUAACUCUGUGCCAGCCGCCGCCGUAACAC